rnacentral:rRNA from 1 species
UUUUUUAAUUAGAGGUUUUGAAUUCAUGAGUCUGAUUGAACGGCUGGCAGGCAGGAAUUACACACAUGCAAGUGCGAGUCGCACAAAGAUAGCUUGUCUACUGGACCUAGCGGCGGACGGGUGAGUAAUGCUUUAGGAAUACUGCCUAUUAGUGGGGGGACAACAUCUCGAAAGGGAUAGCUAAUACCGCAUACGUCCUACGGGAGAAAGCAGGGGAUCUUCGGACCUUGCGCUAAUAGAUGAGCCUAAGUCGGGAUUAGCUAGUUGGUGGGGUAAAGGCCUCCCAAGGCGACGAUUUGUAGCGGGUUUGAGAGGAUGAUCCGCCACCCUGGGAAUGAGACCCGGCCCAGACUCCUACGGGAGGCAGCAGUGGGGAAUAUUGGACAAUGGGGGGAACCCUGAUCCAACCAUGCCGCGGGGGUGAAGAAGGCCUUAUGGUUGUAAAGCCCUUUUAGCGAGGAGGAGGCUACUUUAGUUAAUUCCUAGAGAUAGUGGACGUUACUCGCAGAAUAAGCACCGGCUAACUCUGUGCCAGCAGCCGCGGUAAUACAGAGGGUGCGAGCGUUAAUCGGAUUUACUGGGCGUAAAGCGCGCGUAGGCGGUUUAUUAAGUCGGAUGUGAAAUCCCCGAGCUCAACUUGGGAAUUGCAUUCGAUACUGGCGAGCUAGAGUAUGGGAGAGGAGGGUAGAAUUCCAGGUGUAGCGGUGAAAUGCGUAGAGAUCUGGAGGAAUACCGAUGGCGAAGGCAGCCACCUGGCCAAAUACUGACGCUGAGGUACGAAAGCAUGGGGAGCAAACAGGAUUAGAUACCCUGGUAGUCCAUGCCGUAAACGAUGUCUACUAGCCGUUGGGGCCUUUGAGGCUUUAGUGGCGCAGCUAACGCGAUAAGUAGACCGCCUGGGAGAUGGCAACU